CAGCAGCCACGGGAAUACGUAGGGUGCGAGCGUUGUCCGGAAUUAUUGGGCGUAAAGAGCUCGUAGGCGGCUUGUCGCGUCGAAUGUGAAAGCCCGGGGCUUAACUCCGGGUCUGCAUUCGAUACGGACAGGCUAGAGUGUGGUAGGGGAGAUCGGAAUUCCCGGUGUAGCGGUGAAAUGCGCAGAUAUCAGGAGGAACACCGGUGGCGAAGGCGGAUCUCUGGGCCAUUACUGACGCUGAGGAGCGAAAGCGUGGGGAGCGAACAGGAUUAGAUACCCCGGUAGUCCCUGUCUCUUAUAC
rnacentral:rRNA from 1 species